CGUCAAGCAGCGACCUAUAAAAGCUGAACGCUAACGUUGUUGCGUCCUUUCUCACUAGUUGGACGCGGUGCGAAGUAGCCGGAGGUUUAUAAUGUGUUAUAACGUCAAAGGUUCAGCUGCUUCACAUGUCAGGCUGCAAGCUAAUACUUCCAUGGACGGUCACAGCUUUGAGCCGGACAUUGGAUGAUGUCUUUGGCUUUUCUACUUUGACCUGAUCGAUGGAUUGAGGCUAUUCAAGCUCAUUUGAUCCUCCUGAGUGGCUGCGCUAUGGUUGACCCCAGACGGGCCGCAAAGUCCUUUUUUGUGCCAUGAUGUCUAACUGAAUAAUCUAGCGGCAGCGGACAGCUUAGCAGUGUCUGGUAGAGCUUAUGACGCCAGAAGAUGACCAAGAGAUUAGAGGGACGUAUGGGCCUCCCUACUGAAGCUGCUACCCACGCCGUGGUUGGAUGCCAGCUUUGUCAUUAUGAAGCCCUGAUUGUUUUUUUUUUAUACAAAUAAACUACAGAUAUUUAAUUUUCA